UUGAACGCUGGCGGCAGGCCUAACACAUGCAAGUCGAACGGUAACAGGAAACAGCUUGCUGUUUCGCUGACGAGUGGCGGACGGGUGAGUAAUGUCUGGGAAACUGCCUGAUGGAGGGGGAUAACUACUGGAAACGGUAGCUAAUACCGCAUAAUGUCGCAAGACCAAAGAGGGGGACCUUCGGGCCUCUUGCCAUCGGAUGUGCCCAGAUGGGAUUAGCUAGUAGGUGGGGUAACGGCUCACCUAGGCGACGAUCCCUAGCUGGUCUGAGAGGAUGACCAGCCACACUGGAACUGAGACACGGUCCAGACUCCUACGGGAGGCAGCAGUGGGGAAUAUUGCACAAUGGGCGCAAGCCUGAUGCAGCCAUGCCGCGUGUAUGAAGAAGGCCUUCGGGUUGUAAAGUACUUUCAGCGGGGAGGAAGGGAGUAAAGUUAAUACCUUUGCUCAUUGACGUUACCCGCAGAAGAAGCACCGGCUAACUCCGUGCCAGCAGCCGCGGUAAUACGGAGGGUGCAAGCGUUAAUCGGAAUUACUGGGCGUAAAGCGCACGCAGGCGGUUUGUUAAGUCAGAUGUGAAAUCCCCGGGCUCAACCUGGGAACUGCAUCUGAUACUGGCAAGCUUGAGUCUCGUAGAGGGGGGUAGAAUUCCAGGUGUAGCGGUGAAAUGCGUAGAGAUCUGGAGGAAUACCGGUGGCGAAGGCGGCCCCCUGGACGAAGACUGACGCUCAGGUGCGAAAGCGUGGGGAGCAAACAGGAUUAGAUACCCUGGUAGUCCACGCCGUAAACGAUGUCGACUUGGAGGUUGUGCCCUUGAGGCGUGGCUUCCGGAGCUAACGCGUUAAGUCGACCGCCUGGGGAGUACGGCCGCAAGGUUAAAACUCAAAUGAAUUGACGGGGGCCCGCACAAGCGGUGGAGCAUGUGGUUUAAUUCGAUGCAACGCGAAGAACCUUACCUGGUCUUGACAUCCACAGAACUUUCCAGAGAUGGAUUGGUGCCUUCGGGAACUGUGAGACAGGUGCUGCAUGGCUGUCGUCAGCUCGUGUUGUGAAAUGUUGGGUUAAGUCCCGCAACGAGCGCAACCCUUAUCCUUUGUUGCCAGCGGUCCGGCCGGGAACUCAAAGGAGACUGCCAGUGAUAAACUGUAGGAAGGUGGGGAUGACGUCAAAUCAUCAUGCCCCUUAUGACCUGGGCUACACACGUGCUACAAUGGCGCAUACAAAGAGAAGCGACCUCGCGAGAGCAAGCGGACCUCAUAAAGUGCGUCGUAGUCCGGAUUGGAGUCUGCAACUCGACUCCAUGAAGUCGGAAUCGCUAGUAAUCGUGGAUCAGAAUGCCACGGUGAAUACGUUCCCGGGCCUUGUACACACCGCCCGUCACACCAUGGGAGUGGGUUGCAAAAGAAGUAGGUAGCUUAACCUUCGGGAGGGCGCUUACCACUUUGUGAUUCAUGACUGGGGUG
rnacentral:rRNA from 1 species